rnacentral:rRNA from 1 species
UACGGGGGGGGCAAGCGUUGUUCGGAAUUACUGGGCGGAAAGGGCUCGUAGGCGGCCAACUAAGUCGGACGUGAAAUCCCCAGGCUCAACCUGGGAACUGCGUCCGAUACUGGAUGGCUUGAAUCCGGGAGAGGUGAGUGGAAUGCCGAGUGUAGAGGUGAAAUUCGUAGAUAUUCGGCGGAACACCAGUGGCGAAGGCGACUCACUGGCCCGAUACUGACGCUGAGGCGCGAAAGCGUGGGGAGCAAACAGG